rnacentral:hammerhead_ribozyme from 1 species
GCACUGCUGAAGAGUUCUACAAUUGGACGAAACGGCUGUCCAGUGC